rnacentral:rRNA from 1 species
UACGUAGGGUGCAAGCGUUGUCCGGAAUUGUUGGGCGUAAAGAGCUCGUAGGCGGUCUGUCGCGUCGGAUGUGAAAACCCAGGGUUCAACCCUGGGCCUGCAUUCGAUACGGGCAGACUAGAGUUCGGUAGGGGAGACUGGAAUUCCUGGUGUAGCGGUGAAAUGCGCAGAUAUCAGGAGGAACACCGGUGGCGAAGGCGGGUCUCUGGGCCGAAACUGACGCUGAGGCGCGAAAGCGUGGGGAGCAAACAGG